CCCUUAAUAUUCUGAGGCCUUGGGGGUUCAUGUGCCACAACAUGUGAAUUUUGUCCACCAGCUCUUGGUUCCCAAGUGCCUUUGAAUGAAUUUGAGUUGCUUACUGGUCUUCCUCCUUCUCCUACUUUCCAGUUCCUAGGUGAUGCUGAUGCUGCUGGUCCAGGGAUCACAGUUUAAGAACCGCUGGCCUAGACCAAGAGUGUGUUUACAGAAGUCCGGAUUCCAGGGUUCAUGAGCUCAGCCACAGAAAUACCACCCUGCAGAGAAAACUUUGACCUAAACAAACCAUCACAAGCUCCACCUUUCUACGCCCGGGAUAUCUCGCAGGGUAGCAACUGUGAGUGUGCUUCCAAACCUUCCAGAGAAAGUUUUCCUUUCCUUCAGCCGAGGCUGCAUUUUUCUACCUAAUGAGGUCCUGUGACUUGCAGCCCCCAUUUCUGGAGGCACCACAGUCUUCCAGAAAGGCUGGCUGGGAGAAUGCUAAGACUCAAGAGAUAAUAGAGUCAGGUGAGUGGAUAAACCAAGUGUGUUGUAGACACACAACAGAAUAUUCCUCAACUUCAGAAGGAAGGAAGGCUGAUGUACUUCAUACCAUGGAUGAGCCUGGAGGGCAUUACCCAAAGUGAAAGAAGCCAGACACAAAAGGACAAACACUGGAGAUUUCUUCCCUGGACGACAGAGUUGUCAGAUUUAUGGAGACAAAAAGAAGAACGGUGGGUGUCAGGGCCUGGGGGCAAGGGUGGAUGGGGAGUAUUGCUUAAUGGGUCCAGUGUUUCCAUUUGGGAAGAUGAAGAAGUUCUGGAGCUGGAUGGUGGGAAUGGUGGGACAACAAUGAGAAUGUACUUCAUGCCACUGAACUGUGCACUUCAGAUAGUUUUACAUUGUAUUUCAGCAUGAUUAAAACA